GUGAAGCGGCAACAGCUCAAAUUUGAAAUCUGGCCUCUUCGGGGUCCGAGUUGUAAUUUGUAGAGGAUGUUUCGGGUACCGCCUCGGUUUAAAUUUCUUGGAACAGAAUGUCAGAGAGGGUGAGAAUCCCGUCUUGGACCGGCGGUAGGGCCCAUGUGAAACUCCUUCGACGAGUCGAGUUGUUUGGGAAUGCAGCUCAAAAUGGGUGGUAAAUUUCAUCUAAAGCUAAAUAUUGGCCAGAGACCGAUAGCGCACAAGUAGAGUGAUCGAAAGAUGAAAAGAACUUUGAAAAGAGAGUUAAACAGUAUGUGAAAUUGUUGAAAGGGAAGCGCUUACAACCAGACUUGAGCGCGGCGGUUCCCCCUUCCUUUUGGUUGGGUUACUCCGCCGUGUCCAGGCCAACAUCGGUUCUGGGGGUCGGUUAAAGGCCUGGGGAAUGUAUCUACUCCUUCGGGGGUAGACUUAUAGCCCCGGGUGUCAUGCGACCACCCGGGACCGAGGAACGCGCUUCGGCUCGG
rnacentral:rRNA from 1 species